rnacentral:rRNA from 1 species
AUUGAACGCUGGCGGCAUGCUUUACACAUGCAAGUCGAACGGCAGCGCGGGCUUCGGCCUGGCGGCGAGUGGCGAACGGGUGAGUAAUACAUCGGAACGUGCCCAGUAGUGGGGGAUAGCUCGGCGAAAGCCGGAUUAAUACCGCAUACGACCUGAGGGUGAAAGCGGGGGAUCUUCGGACCUCGCGCUAUUGGAGCGGCCGAUGGCAGAUUAGCUAGUUGGUGGGGUAAAGGCCUACCAAGGCGACGAUCUGUAGCUGGUCUGAGAGGACGACCAGCCACACUGGGACUGAGACACGGCCCAGACUCCUACGGGAGGCAGCAGUGGGGAAUUUUGGACAAUGGGCGAAAGCCUGAUCCAGCAAUGCCGCGUGUGUGAUGAAGGCCUUCGGGUUGUAAAGCACUUUUGGCGGGAACGAAAAGGACUGUGCCAAUACCACGGUUCGGUGACGGUACCCGCAGAAUAAGCACCGGCUAACUACGUG